AUUGAACGCUGGCGGCAGGCCUAACACAUGCAAGUCGAGCGGAUGAAGGGAGUUUGCUCCUGGAUUCAGCGGCGGACGGGUCAGUAAUGCCUAGGAAUCUGCCUGGUAGUGGGGGAUAACGUCCGGAAACGGGCGCUAAUACCGCAUACGUCCUGAGGGAGAAAGUGGGGGAUCUUCGGACCUCACGCUAUCAGAUGAGCCUAGGUCGGAUUAGCUAGUUGGUGGGGUAAAGGCCUACCAAGGCGACGAUCCGUAACUGGUCUGAGAGGAUGAUCAGUCACACUGGAACUGAGACACGGUCCAGACUCCUACGGGAGGCAGCAGUGGGGAAUAUUGGACAAUGGGCGAAAGCCUGAUCCAGCCAUGCCGCGUGUGUGAAGAAGGUCUUCGGAUUGUAAAGCACUUUAAGUUGGGAGGAAGGGCAGUAAGUUAAUACCUUGCUGUUUUGACGUUACCAACAGAAUAAGCACCGGCUAACUUCGUG
rnacentral:rRNA from 1 species